rnacentral:rRNA from 1 species
CACGUAGGGCGCAAGCGUUGUCCGGAAUCAUUGGGCGUAAAGAGCGCGUAGGCGGUCCGGUAAGUCGGUUGUGAAAACUGGGGGCUCAACCCUCAGAGGCCGACCGAUACUGUCGGGCUAGAGUCCGGAAGAGGCGAGUGGAAUUCCUGGUGUAGCGGUGAAAUGCGCAGAUAUCAGGAGGAACACCAAUGGCGAAGGCAGCUCGCUGGGACGGUACUGACGCUGAGGCGCGAAAGCGUGGGGAGCGAACAGG